AGGAAUUUGUCCACAGAUUCCCCUGAGAUCUGACCAGAAGAAAUGAAAAUUGAUGGCAGGUCUGUAGAUGUUCAGACUUUGCAGCUGGCUUCUGUCAGCCACCUGUCAUUGCUUUUUAUUUGUUCACUUGCUUUGGGUUUUGCAAGUGACUGUCUCUGUCCCUAUUUGAUCUGC
rfam:Choloepus hoffmanni cont1.778979, whole genome shotgun sequence.